AUCUACGGAUGAAAGCGGGGGACUUUUCGGGCCUCGCGCUAUAGGGUUGGCCGAUGGCUGAUAAGCUUAGUUGGGUGGGGUAAAGGCCUACCAAGGCGACGAUCAGUAGCUGGUUUGAGAGGACGACCAGCCACACUGGGACUGAGACACGGCCCAGACUCCUACGGGAGGCAGCAGUGGGGAAUUUUGGACAAUGGGGGAAAGCCUGAUCCAGCAAUGCCGCGUGUGUGAAGAAGACCAUCGGGUUGUAAAGCACUUUUGUCCGGAAAGAAAUCCUUGGCUCUAAUACAGUCGGGGGAUGACGGUACCGGAAGAAUAAGCACCGGCUAACUACGUCCCAGCAGCCGCGGUAAUACGUA
rnacentral:rRNA from 1 species